GCCUGUCCUAAGAUGACAGCUUAACUCGGGAAAUUUCGCGCCUUUACUGUCCCCGUUGUUCUCGAAGAGGAACCAUGAUAAUAUUCAUGGGCCAGGACGUGGAUACUGUACGGUAACGUUAAUUAACUCAUUGACUCAGGCGGGUGGCCUUUGAAGCGUGACCCUCGCUUCUUAACAGCUUCUUUACUAACAUACCCUGGAGGCAGGUUAUCCGGACAUAGGGUUGACUGGCUGGUAAAGCUUCUAAAGCUUCCUGGCUUUUAGGGAUUCCGGUGUG
rnacentral:ncRNA from 1 species